GUCCCGUACUCGGAUACUGGGCGUAAGCGUGCGUAGGUGGUCGUUUAAGUCCGUUGUGAAAGCCCUGGGCUCAACCUGGGAACUGCAGUGGAUACUGGGCGACUAGAGUGUGGUAGAGGGUAGCGGAAUUCCUGGUGUAGCAGUGAAAUGCGUAGAGAUCAGGAGGAACAUCCAUGGCGAAGGCAGCUACCUGGACCAACACUGACACUGAGGCACGAAAGCGUGGGGAGCAAACAGGAUUAGAUACCCUGGUAGUCCACGCCCUAGACGAUGCGAACUGGAUGUUGGGUGCAAUUUGGCACGCAGUAUCGAAGCUAACGCGUUAAGUUCGCCGCCUGGGGAGUACGGUCGCAAGACUGAAACUCAAAGGAAUUGACGGGGGCCCGCACAAGCGGUGGAGUAUGUGGUUUAAUUCGAUGCAACGCUAAUAACCUUACCUGGCCUUGACAUGUCAGAACUUUUUAGAGGGGGGGGGGGGCGUACCGAAACUCUAACAAAUUUUAUUAUA
rnacentral:rRNA from 1 species